GGUGGCUCAGUGGUAGAGUGUUUGCCUCACAUGCAUGAGGUCCUGGGUUCAAUUCCUCAGCACCA
rnacentral:tRNA from 1 species